GACGAGGGAUCCUAGCGUUGUUCGGAAUCAUUGGGCGUAAAGCGGGUGUAGGUGGCUUGGUAAGUCAGGUGUGAAAGCCCAGGGCUUAACCCUGGAAGUGCAUUUGAAACUGCCGAGCUUGAGUGUGGGAGAGGAUAGUGGAAUUCUGGUGUAGUGGUGAAAUACGUAGAUAUCAGGAGGAACACCGGUGGCGAAGGCGGGUCUCUAGGCCGUAACUGACGCUGAGGAGCGAAAGCGUGGGGAGCGAACAGG
rnacentral:rRNA from 1 species